CCUACGGGUGGCAGCAGUGGGGGAUAUUGCACAAUGGGGGAAACCCUGAUGCAGCGACGCCGCGUGGGUGAAGAAGCGCCUCGGCGCGUAAAGUCCUGUCAUCAGGGAAGAAAAUGACGGUACCUGAAGAAGAAGCCCCGGCUAACUACGUGCCAGCAGCCGCGGUAAUACGGAGGGGGCAAGCGUUACCCGGAUUUACUGGGCGUAAAGGGCGCGCAGACGGCGUUGCAAGCCAGGAGUGAAAUCCCAGGGCUCAACCACGGGACUGCACUUGAAACUGUGAGGCUAGAGUGCAGGAGAGGUAGGCGGAAUUCCUGGUGUAGCGGUAAAAUGCGGAGAGAUCAGGAGGAACACUGGUGGCGAAGGCGACCUGCUAGACUGCAACUGACGUUGAUGCCCGAAAGCGUGGGGAGCAAACAGGAUUAGAUACCCCGGUAGUC
rnacentral:rRNA from 1 species